AAUCAACGCUGGCGGCGUGCCUCAGACAUGCAAGUCGAACGAUUAAAGCUCUCUUCGGAGAGUGCAUAGAGUGGCGCACGGGUGAGUAACACGUAAGUAAUCUACCCUCGAGUGGGGAAUAACGUCCGGAAACGGACGCUAAUACCGCAUAAUGCAGCGGCACCGCAAGGUGGCAGUUGUUAAAGAUUUAUCGCUUGAGGAGGAGCUUGCGGCAGAUUAGCUAGUUGGUAAGGUAAUGGCUUACCAAGGCUACGAUCUGUAACCGGUCUAAGAGGACGGUCGGUCACACUGACACUGAAUAACGGGUCAGACUCCUACGGGAGGCAGCAGUCGGGAAUUUUGGGCAAUGGGCGAAAGCCUGACCCAGCAACGCCGCGUGAAGGAUGAAGUAUUUCGGUAUGUAAACUUCGAAAGAAUAGGAAGAAUUAAUGACGGUACUAUUUAUAAGGUUCGGCUAACUACGUGCCAGCAGCCGCGGUAAUAC
rnacentral:rRNA from 1 species